AACUCCUCUGGAAGUUUUUCCAAGAGUUCAUCCAGGAGUUUUUCCGGAAGUUCCUCCAGAGGUUCGUCCAAGAGUUCCUCCAGAAGUUCGUCCAGGAGUUUUUUGGAGGUUUCUUUCAGAAAGAAAUUUCUUCAGAAGUUCCUUCAGGAGUCCCUCCGGAAGUUUUUCCAGGAAUUUCUCCGGUAGUUCUUCCGGGAAUUCGUCCGAAAGUUCCUCCAGAGCUCAUCCUGGAGUUUCUCCGGAAGUUCCUCCAGAGGUUCGUCCAAGAGUUCCUCCAGAAGUUCGUCCAGGAGUACUUUUGGAGGUUUCUCCAGAAAUUUCUUCAGAAGUUCCUUCAGGAGUCCCUCCGGAAGUUCUUCUAGGAAUUUCUGCGGUAGUUCUUCCAGGAAUUCCUCCGGAAGUUUCUCUAGGAUUUCCACCUGGAAUUCGAUCCGAAGUUCCUCAGAGAUUUCUCCGGAAGUUCCUCCAUGAAUUCGUCCGGAAGUUCAUCAAGGAAUUUCUCUGGAAGCGCCUCCAGGAAUUCUUCCGGUAAUUUCUUAAAAAAAAUUCAUGAAUGCUUUAGGAUGUUUGCUCAAGAAAUCCCCGAGAAGUUCUGUAACUUCUUAAAUAAUUACUCAUAGAAUUUCUCCUAAAAUUUUCUCUGGAGUUCCUCAAAAACUCCUCCAAGAACACUUCAUAAAUUACUUCACGAACACCACAUAAAUUACCACGAGGGCACUUCAAAUAUUUCUUCUGAAAUUAAAAAAAAACUUCCAGGAACUCUUGAAGAACAUCCUAUGGAAAUUAGAUUGCGAAAUCUAGAUCUAAAAAAUCUUACGCUCAUUCAUCUGGGAAUUCUUCCAGAAAUUUCUACCCCAAAAUUCCUCCAGGGAUUCUCCCGGAGAGUGGUUCACAAAUAAAAUUAAUUCUCCGGAAAUUUGUUUAGAAAUUCUACCAAAAAAAUUCCAAGAACUCCUUCACAACUUUCAAGGAUUUCCCAGGCAAUUCCCACGGAAACUUCUCCAUGAUUUCUCCAUGAAUUCGCCCAGAAACCUUAAAGGAUUUUUCUGGGAAAUUCGCUUGAAAACUCCUCCCAAAUACCAUAAGGAGAGUACUCCAAAAAUUCUCCCGCUUUUUCUUUACACUCUAAUUUUAGUAAAAAAAAAUGUAACAAUAUUCAAAAGAACUACAAAGUAGGCACUGAACCCUUAAUAUAAGGGUGGGUGGUAAAAGGCUGCAUCUGAAAAGGAAAUAUCAUUCAAUUGGGCUUAGAUUAGUUACACUGGAUAACAAAGUAAAUUACAAUAUUGGUAAGCAAAACAUAUUCUGGACCUGUGAGCUACAAGAGCGUAAAGCCAAUUAAUGCACAGGUUCGAAACGCGCCUUUCGUUGCACAACUCGCUCAUUGUUAACGGAGGAGUUUUUAGCCUAUGCAAUAAAAAACAUCUUAUCCUCUUUGUGUAAAGCCACAACAAUUAGAAGGACCAACUACAUUGUAAAUCAUUGUUCCGUGAACAAAGCAUAUGUAGUAUUCUAAUCAUCAAGCAAUGGGGUGAAGAGCUACUUUAACAGCAAAUGUUAUUAUUGUGUUGUGUUGUUUGAGAUCUUAUAACAACACAGUGGGCUGGAAUUUUCUUUCUUACCAAGCAACUGCUAUCCAGUUUUAAAUAUAUUUACUUUACCACUUUUUAAAAUAUAAACAAAAAAUCAUGUACAGGUAAAAAUAUUCAUUCUUCAUACAUUCGUAUAUUAUAAUAAUAUAAACAAAAACGAAACAUUAAUCAAUGAAAAUUCAUAAAGAACAAUAAGACGGAUAAUAAUGGCCAAAAAUACGCACUGAAUGACAUAAAUUAAACAAGGAGGACAAUAAACUCAAUCAAAUGGUCUAGCCAAUUAUUUUUAAUACUUUUAAAUUUGAAGCAUUCGAUUUAAACCUAUCUGCCUACAUUCAGUUCGACGCCAUUGUAAAGUUUUGCCAUACUUUGUUAUGGCGUGGUAAACAUACAUCUUAUAUCGAACUAUGUCCAAAAACAAAGUAAAAUCUGCCUCUGUAUUUUAUGAAAAAAAAAACUCACUUCAUGUGGAUUUUAUAAUUCUGAUUUGCCCACAAAAUAUUCCGUAAUCAUACAAAAAUUAAAUUAAUAUGAAAUAACUCUAUAAGAAAAAAGAUUUCAAAGCUUUUACCGCUAAUACGAUAAUCGUGGAAAACGUUGAAAUAAAGUGGAAAUUAUCGAGCUUGAUUUACUGGCAAAAGUCUUAAAACAAAAUAGAAUGUCGAAAAAAAAAACAAAUGUUAAAACAACCCAGUUGGAUCAUAACGUUGCAAAUGUUUAUAUAACACAUAUUACUGAAAUUGAGGAAAAUGUGCCUAGCCUGUUCGAAUUGGAAACACGGAAGAGAAAAUACCUAUUUAUUAUAUCGUUUACUAGGUAACCGAUACAUGAAGAAACCAAAUUGAAAUUCUAAAAGUCAAAAGACUUGAAUUUGAAUGACGCAAAAAAAAAGACAAAAAUGCAAGUAAUCUCAACUAGAACCAAACAAUAAUUGAGAGAAGAAGUACGACAGAUUAAAAAGUCUAAUAAAGAGGAAAUUGUUAAAUUCGUUUGGGAGGGUUUUUUUUUAAAUAAUAAGUGUGGAUGUUUUCGAAUGCAGAUCAGUUUUUGUAAACAUAAAACAGGGGAAAAUAUUCAGCACAUCAUUGGAUGUAUUUCUUUUAAAUUUAUUCAGCCAUAUCAUGAAAAACAGCAAGCGAUCGCCCAACAAAUGUUUCUUUCAUCUUUUUUUAUAUUUUUCAUGCUUUCAUGUAACAACAAAUUUUAUUAAAAAGAUUUGAUGAAAUACGGAUAAUGGCUAAAAAAAAUUUACUACAAUUCACACCUACCAACGAUCGCAAUAUUCUGAGGAAUCGAAUAAUAUUUUUCAUGAAGUGGCUGAGUUGUCAAUCGUGUUUUUGUUAGUUCGACUGCUUAUGUUCUAUUAGAAUCAUAAUUGUUGUACAGACAUUAGCAGACAAAACCUCAGAAUUCAAUAUGGUCGAUUUUUUUAUGCUGAUAUCUUUAAUUAUUCAUUAAAUAUAAAUAUAUUUAUAUUUUUGCAUUACA